rnacentral:rRNA from 1 species
GGCAGCCUACGGGAGGCAGCAGUGGGGAAUAUUGCACAAUGGGGGAAACCCUGAUGCAGCGACGCCGCGUGAGUGAAGAAGUAUUUCGGUAUGUAAAGCUCUAUCAGCAGGGAAGAAGAAGGACGGUACCUGAGUAAGAAGCCCCGGCUAACUACGUGCCAGCAGCCGCGGUAAUACGUAGGGGGCAAGCGUUAUCCGGAUUUACUGGGUGUAAAGGGAGCGUAGACGGCAGGGCAAGUCUGGAGUGAAAGCCCGGGGCACAACCCCGGGACUGCUUUGGAAACUGCCAUGCU